GUGGACGAUGAAGGCUUCGGGUCGUAAAGUCCUGUCGGGUGGGAAGAAAAGUAUGAGUUCAAAUAGAGUUCAUGCUUGACGGUACCAUCCAAGGAAGCCCCGGCCAACUCCGUGCCAGCAGCCGCGGUAAUACGGGGGGGGCAAGCGUUAUUCGGAAUCACUGGGCGUAAAGGGCGUCUAGGCGGUCGGGUAAGUCGUGGGUGAAAGCCCCCGGCUCAACCGGGGAAGUGCCUGCGAAACUAUCCGACUUGAGGUCGGGAGAGGAAAGUGGAAUUCCCAGUGUAGCGGUGAAAUGCGCAGAUAUUGGGAGGAACACCAGUGGCGAAGGCGGCUUUCUGGACCGACCCUGACGCUGAAGCGCGAAAGCUAGGGGAGCGAACGGGAUUAGAUACCCCGGUAGUCCUAGCCGUAAACGAUGGGCACUU
rnacentral:rRNA from 1 species